rnacentral:rRNA from 1 species
UAGGGAAUCUUCGGCAAUGGACGAAAGUCUGACCGAGCAACGCCGCGUGAGUGAAGAAGGUCUUCGGAUCGUAAAACUCUGUUGUUAGAGCAGAACAAGGACGUUAGUAACUGAACGUCCCCUGACGGUAUCUAACCAGAAAGCCACGGCUAACUACGUGCCAGCAGCCGCGGUAAUACGUAGGUGGCAAGCGUUGUCCGGAUUUAUUGGGCGUAAAGCGAGCGCAGGCGGUUUCUUAAGUCUGAUGUGAAAGCCCCCGGCUCAACCGGGGAGGGUCGUUGGAAACUGGGAGACUUGAGGGCGGAAGAGGAGAGUGGAAUUCCAUGUGUAGCGGUGAAAUGCGUAGAUAUAUGGAGGAACACCAGUGGCGAAGGCGGCUCUCUGGUCUGUAACUGACGCUGAGGCUCGAAAGCGUGGGGAGCAAACAGG